CAAAGAAGAUAAAGUGUCUGCCCAGCACCUACUUUGGAAGAAAACACAUCAUCAACCAAAGUAGGUGCUGGAAGGAAAGUCCGAACACCAGAGGGCAGGAUACUUCCUAACAGGAAGUCCCGGUGACGGGGAGCCAGCUCCACAGAAACAAACUACCCAGCACCUAUUUGCGAUGUCUAAAUAUAGGACUUUGCAAAUAGGUGCUGGGAAAAGGUGAAAAGGUAGUGUAAGAGACUACCAGAUUCCGGUGUGAAUCGGGAUGCUCGGAAAGCCUUGUUCGGUGCAAUGCCAAAUAGGAGAGCAUGAGUUAGCCCGACUCUUUUUGUUCUCGGGUAGGCAGCUAAAACCGGUCAUUAUUUGAACCCUGAGGGGUAUAGAAAUAUCCGGUUUAGACAAAUAGACAUUAGAUUGCUUGUUAGGCAAUUUACAGAAUUCGGCUUAUUAUCUUCUUUGACAA
rnacentral:RNase_P_RNA from 1 species